rnacentral:misc_RNA from 1 species
AAGUCGUAACAAGGUCUCCGUAGGUGAACCUGCGGAGGGAUCAUUAACACGUUCCAAAACAACAAGAAACCGUGGUUUCCCCCUCCCUAUUGGGUACGCCGUUUCCGACAGAUCGCUAGUGGUAAGUUUGUCUUCACGGACGAGCUUAGAUCUUCGGGGCGAGGGUUUGGUCCCAAAAAGCGUACUCUGGUAGGCCUUCCAAUUUAUUCGCCUUCCACUGCGGCAUAUAUUAACCAAUUCAAAUAAGUUGUCUGAUCUGUCAUACUAGGAGAAAUCCUUCUUGACUUUAAACCAACUAAGUACAACUCUUAGCAAUGGAUAUCUAGGUUCUC